GGGAGGAGUUUAGUGACAGGUGUGUCCCUUUCUUUCGCAGCCACAGAAACCAAGAGCAUACCUGUGAAGAGAGAGAGAGAGGCAGAGAGAGGGAAAGAUAGAUUGGAGAGAUAGAAAAGGAAACCGAAUAAAGAUGUUAUGAACGUGUUAUUGAAAAGAGCAACAUUUCGAGAGAAAUAAGUGAAAACAGAAAAAAUAAGGAAGAUCCACGGAUUGUUUUCUCUCGCUCGACCGGAAAGAAGAGGACUUGCACCACCGGAGGAAACUAGAGGACAACAGAACGAGGGAAUUCCGGUAGUUUAGUAGGAAUAUCUCUGGCGGUUUCGGGCCAGAGGUGACGUCACCACGUCAACGCCAGGAAACACAGUUUCCUCAACUGUAAACUUUGGAGGGUGUGACUUUUCGGCCUUUAAACAAAGCCAUCAAAAUGUCAGGCAUCAGCGUUUCAUUGGACAACCCCUAUGGAGAUGUGACCAUUCCACGAGCCAAGCUCCGUGGUGACCAGAGCCUGGUGAUUGGGAACCCUGUGGCACUGGGCAACCCCUAUGCUAAGACAGAGGGUGGUGAGGCACAAGCCCCGCCCCCUUACAAUGUCAAGUUGGCGGAGCCAGAAGAGGAGAUGCGUUGCCGUGCCUGUUGCUACCGUUGUCGCCGUCGGAAACAGUGAUGGAGAGAGUGGAGGAGCUUUGGACAGAAGAGGAGUAGAGAUGGAGAUGGAGAGGGAAGGAGGAGAGGAGGAGAGGGAUGAUGCAUAGAGCUGACUUGACCAAUCAAGGCAGCUCCCGUUAGGGAGGUGGGGCUUCUGGUAUAUUUAAAAUCUGGGAGAAAUGUAAAGCUUUGAUGUUUUCUGACUUUCCUCUAUCUUUGUCACAGUUAAAACUGGUCUUACUGAGCUGAAACAUAGAAGUGUUUAUUUCAGUUUGGUUUCAUACAUCUUGUUCACAUAAUUUUUCCAUUUGUAUUUAAAUGUUGAACAUAUUAACUGACAUGUACAUGUAGCUCGAUUUCUACAUGUAUGUGUUAUAUUUGUCUGCUUAUUGAUGUAAAAGGUAUGAUGUAUGAUGGUAAAAUGUAAGAAUAUUAUAGAUCAGUCAUUGUGUCUUAGCCAAUCAGCCAUGCCCCCAUCCUCCUUAACCAAUGAGAAUAAUCAACCAAACAUGCCAUGAUAAGGCCCAUUCAAAAUAGGUCUUUGCCAAAUAUGAAUUAUAAUAAUAUGAAUUAUUAUAUGUAAUAUUAGUACUCUAUGAAUAUACAUGCUGUUACAUGUGUGCCAAUGCAUCUAUUCAUGGAGCAGACCAUAAAUUGUAUUACAUUUGCAUUUAUACGGUUAAAGCACCUAUGAUCAAAUAUUGUCGUGUUUAAAGUGUGCAAUAUUCACCUUUUGUUAUGUGAAGGACUUAUUUAUGUAUGGUUGUGCCAACAUAGAACGUUAUUUUAUAUAUUUGAAUAGCAUUUUACUUUUAUCAAAUUGCUACCUGAAUUCAUAUUUAUGUAGGCCUGUAGUGAAACCUAAAAAAGCUUAUUCUAUGAGAAUGUAGUAAUGUGAGUAUUUUAAGGAAUGCAAACGUUCUACAUUUUUACAUUUGUCCUGCUAUUGCUGUUUUCCUCUUUUUUUUUUCGAUCUUCUUUAAUGUAAAAAUAAAGCAGAAUAGCAAAAAAUG